rnacentral:snRNA from 1 species
GGAUGUGUGGGCGAUCUGGCUGUGACAUCUGUCACCCUAUUAUCUCCAGGGUUGGUUUGGCUGAUCUGAUUGGCUAGGUGGGUGUCCCCUUCCUCCUCACCAUUCCAUGUGUGUCCCUCCCAAAGCUGUGCACUCAGUUGAAGAGGAUGACCUUCCCCGAUAGAGGAGGACUGUUCUUUGGUCAAGGGUAGAUGAAUAGCUGUGCUCCCCUGCUAGAACAUCCAAACAAGAAUGUUAAAGAACAGUUAAAAGAAAAAAAUGAAACAAUCAAAUGUUAACAAGCCACACAGACCAUAGAGCAUUUCAUUAGGGAAAUAGCUUCCUUAA